rnacentral:lncRNA from 1 species
AUGUAUUCGAAAGUUAAACUAAAUGAACCGUUGACUUCUAAAAGUCAACCGUGUAUAAGAAGGAUGGUUAGGCGGGUUGUCCUAAUUGUAAGAUUAAGGUAAGUUAUAUGGAGCGCGUUUGACGAAUGUGUGUUUAAUGCGAUGACAUGAUGGUUUACAUGAGUUUGAAAUGAUAUGAAUUUGGUCACAUGUAUUAUGCUUGCUAGAAGUAACUAAUGAAAGUCAAAUAGGAAUUAUGCGAUCGAUAUGAUCGUUAACAUGUACAAUUAUGUAUGCUAAUAAGAAUGUGAUUUCGAUGACAUGGAAGUAUAGGAAUCAUGUCGAGACGGAAUCAAGCACGGAAGGCUAACGGGUCAAAAGUGGCGAGGAAACGAGUAUGAACAUGGACGCACGAGGUAAGUGAUUUCUUUGUAAUCACUUCUUAGUUGUUUAUGGAAAGUUAUGUGCGAUUUAAUUAAGUAUGAUGAUCGAGGUCAAGUAGGAAAGAAUUGUAUGAGACCGAUGAAGUAUUAAACGGAUCUCCGAGCGAGGUAUAUGUGAUUAAGAACUGUAGCUAAGUAGUAGGAUUGGUUACUUAUGCAAGGGAGUCCUUUGUUGUUA